ACAAGUUCAGUCUCGUAAAUAUAAGUUAGAGCCAAAGCUUUAUAUUAGUCCUAAGGGUGCCAAAAAUAGUAAACAGGUAACGCGACGUUCCAGGUUCUGAUUUGGUACAUUAAGUAAGUGCAUAAACUAAGCCGCAAUUGUUAUAGCGCCUUUUCGGCAUCAUCUCAGAGUUAGAUUACUAAUGUUAAAGCACAAUUAAAUCGGAUCCUCCCCCACUCUACGAGGGAAGUACCGGGCGAUUGCUGGUCGCCUCCCGCCGGAUGACUCACGGAUCACCGCUUUGUGGCUGUAAAUUCCCCACCAUAAGGGAUCGCUCAGAGCAUCAGACUCCAUUAGGUAAGUGGAAUCGAUCGGAGUACCGAUUCCGGUAAGGUGGGAUCGAUCGGAGUACCGAUCCCGGUAAGUGGAAUCGAUCGGAGUACCGAUUCCGGUAAGGUGGGAUCGAUCGGAGUACCGAUCCCGGUAAGUGGAAUCGAUCGGAGUACCGAUUCCGGUAAGGUGGGAUCGAUCGGAGUACCGAUCCCGGUAAGUGGAAUCGAUCGGAGUACCGAUUCCGGUAAGUUGGGAUAAGGAUGUAGGAAAGUAAGGAAUAAGGAUGUAGGUAGGUAAGGAAUAAGGAUGUAGGUAAGUGGAAUCGCUCAGAGCAUCAGAUCCCAGAGGGCGUGGUUGUAAGUUUCUCUCCACACGGAAUCUCUCCAGACGAGAACAUACGGCAAGAUAUUCAUUUAGGUAAGUUACAAGAUAUACGGACAUACUAUCACUCUGGAACGACACGACGUCUCAAAUGUAAAUGUAAGUAUAAACACCCUUCAAAUUAGUCAUAUGUAAUUUCUCAGUUUGGAGACAUUAACACGCUUACAGCGGGUAGAUGUCUAGUUUACACGGUAAAUUCUGUAUACAGGUAAAUUAAGCUAAGUAAAUGAUCAUUCACUGUACGGCAAACAAGUUAGAAUGUUAUAAGUUUUAUGUGCCGCAUUCAGUGUUGCAUGAAUCAAAGUGAAAUGAAUGUAAUGUGAA